rnacentral:rRNA from 1 species
ACGGGUGAGUAACGCGUGGGAAUCUACCGUGCCCUGCGGAAUAGCUCCGGGAAACUGGAAUUAAUACCGCAUACGCCCUACGGGGGAAAGAUUUAUCGGGGUAUGAUGAGCCCGCGUUGGAUUAGCUAGUUGGUGGGGUAAAGGCCUACCAAGGCGACGAUCCAUAGCUGGUCUGAGAGGAUGAUCAGCCACAUUGGGACUGAGACACGGCCCAAACUCCUACGGGAGGCAGCAGUGGGGAAUAUUGGACAAUGGGCGCAAGCCUGAUCCAGCCAUGCCGCGUGAGUGAUGAAGGCCUUAGGGUUGUAAAGCUCUUUCACUGGAGAAGAUAAUGGCGGUAUCCGGAGAAGAAGCCCCGGCUAACUUCGUGCCAGCAGCCGCGGUAAUACGAAGGGGGCUAGCGUUGUUCGGAAUUACUGGGCGUAAAGCGCACGUAGGCGGAUAUUUAAGUCAGGGGUGAAAUCCCAGAGCUCAACUCUGGAACUGCCUUUGAUACUGGGUAUCUUGAGUAUGGAAGAGGUAAGUGGAAUUCCGAGUGUAGAGGUGAAAUUCGUAGA